rnacentral:rRNA from 1 species
GCGGCAGGCCUAACACAUGCAAGUCGAACGAACUCUUCGGAGUUAGUGGCGGACGGGUGAGUAACACGUGGGAACGUGCCUUUAGGUUCGGAAUAACUCAGGGAAACUUGUGCUAAUACCGAAUGUGCCCUUCGGGGGAAAGAUUUAUCGCCUUUAGAGCGGCCCGCGUCUGAUUAGCUAGUUGGUGAGGUAAAGGCUCACCAAGGCGACGAUCAGUAGCUGGUCUGAGAGGAUGAUCAGCCACAUUGGGACUGAGACACGGCCCAAACUCCUACGGGAGGCAGCAGUGGGGAAUCUUGCGCAAUGGGCGAAAGCCUGACGCAGCCAUGCCGCGUGAAUGAUGAAGGUCUUAGGAUUGUAAAAUUCUUUCACCGGGGACGAUAAUGACGGUACCCGGAGAAGAAGCCCCGGCUAACUUCGUGCCAGCAGCCGCGGUAAUACGAAGGGGGCUAGCGUUGCUCGGAAUUACUGGGCGUAAAGGGAGCGUAGGCGGACAUUUAAGUCAGGGGUGAAAUCCCGGGGCUCAACCUCGGAAUUGCCUUUGAUACUGGGUGUCUUGAGUAUGAGAGAGGUGUGUGGAACUCCGAGUGUAGAGGUGAAAUUCGUAGAUAUUCGGAAGAACACCAGUGGCGAAGGCGACACACUGGCUCAUUACUGACGCUGAGGCUCGAAAGCGUGGGGAGCAAACAGGAUUAGAUACCCUGGUAGUCCACGCCGUAAACGAUGAUUGCUAGUUGUCGGGAUGCAUG